rnacentral:lncRNA from 1 species
UUCUACUGCAUUUUGGCAUACUCAGAUCUUGAACCUUCUUCUCUGGUUCCUCCUUAUGUUUCCCAUCUCUGCCCACCUCUCCUGACUUCCCCAGGCCUCUGCCCACCUUUCCUGACUUCUCUAGGCCUCUAGUCUCCUAUCAUCAUUUUACAUUCUUGCAACCCGAUUUUCACAUAAAACUCCUCUGUAAAAUCCACCUGUAACUUUUCACCAGCUCUGGGGCAUUCUUUUUUCUAUCCUCAUGUCAGUCUUUGACCCAGGCAGUCACCGCUCUCAAGGAACAAGUGUCCAUGAAGAAGCAGCCUGAGCUGUUAGGCAUCUGCCUUUGCUCAAGACAUCCUCUGCCUACCCUGGCAGUUACCCUGGAUGGUUUUGCUGUCGUGAUUAAAACACAGAUGGAGCUCAUCCCUUCCCUGGGUGUUUGAUUGGCA